rnacentral:rRNA from 1 species
UCGAGAAUCAUUCACAAUGGGGGAAACCCUGAUGGUGCGACGCCGCGUGGGGGAAUGAAGGUCUUCGGAUUGUAAACCCCUGUCAUGUGGGAGCAAAUUAAAAAGAUAGUACCACAAGAGGAAGAGACGGCUAACUCUGUGCCAGCAGCCGCGGUAAUACAGAGGUCUCAAGCGUUGUUCGGAAUCACUGGGCGUAAAGCGUGCGUAGGCUGUUUCGUAAGUCGUGUGUGAAAGGCGCGGGCUCAACCCGCGGACGGCACAUGAUACUGCGAGACUAGAGUAAUGGAGGGGGAACCGGAAUUCUCGGUGUAGCAGUGAAAUGCGUAGAUAUCGAGAGGAACACUCGUGGCGAAGGCGGGUUCCUGGACAUUAACUGACGCUGAGGCACGAAGGCCAGGGGAGCGAAAGGGAUUAGAUACCCCUGUAGUCCUGGCAGUAAACGGUGCACGCUUGGUGUGCGGGGAAUCGACCCCCUGCGUGCCGGAGCUAACGCGUUAAGCGUGCCGCCUGGGGAGUACGGUCGCAAGAUUAAAACUCAAAGAAAUUGACGGGGACCCGCACAAGCGGUGGAGUAUGUGGCUUAAUUCGAUGCAACGCGAAGAACCUUACCUGGGCUUGACAUGUAAUGAACAACAUGUGAAAGCAUGCGACUCUUCGGAGGCGUUACACAGGUGCUGCAUGGCCGUCGUCAGCUCGUGUCGUGAGAUGUUUGGUUAAGUCCAGCAACGAGCGCAACCCCUGUUGCCAGUUACCAGCACGUGAAGGUGGGGACUCUAGCGAGACUGCCCAGAUCAACUGGGAGGAAGGUGGGGACGACGUCAGGUCAGUAUGGCCCUUAUGCCCAGGGCUGCACACGUACUACAAUGCCCAGUACAGAGGGGGCCGAAGCCGCGAGGCGGAGGAAAUCCUAAAAACUGGGCCCAGUUCGGACUGUAGGCUGCAACCCGCCUACACGAAGCCGGAAUCGCUAGUAAUGGCGCAUCAGCUACGGCGCCGUGAAUACGUUCCC